GUAGGGGGCCGCCCGUCAGAAGAAGAGAGCAUGGGUGUGACUUUGAUUCAUUGAGCAUUAAAAGCUCUUUUGGAUCUUAUCUUUACUCCCUGCCUUUUGUCAGUUUAGUUCCUAUUUAAUGGAUGAGCAGAGCAGAGAAGAGAAAGAACUGAAGAAGCAAACAAAAAUUUAAGAUCUAAGCGAGAGAGAGAGAGAGAGAGAUAGAGAUUGGGAAGAUGAAGAUGCGUAUGGGAGCAGCUUUCUUGUUGGUGGUGCUCUUAAUAUCAUCUGAGAUUGCCGUAGUUGUCCACUCAGAUGCCUCCGAUUGCUACGAUGCCUGUACCACUGGUUGUGUUCUCACUAAUUCAAGGCUUCAGCAGCGAUGUGAACGCAAGUGUGCGAUCAAAUGUGGCCCAGAUGUUGUUGCUGAGGAGGAGGGCCUGGUUGGAGGCUAAAAUGGUCAAUGGCGUGUAAGUUUGACUAGGGGGAGUCAACCAUUUUGAACCAGUUACAUAUAUAAUAGGAAAAUGCAUUUCCUAUUGGAUCCAUAUAUUUGUUAUGUAACCCUGGUUUGACCGCUGGUCCAAUCAAGUUUUUCUGAAACUUAUGUUGACAUUGGAGACUUAAAUAAUGCUUCUUCUUCCUAUUAUCCA